rnacentral:rRNA from 1 species
GACGAACGCUGGCGGCGUGCCUAAUACAUGCAAGUUGAGCGCUGAAGGUUGGUACUUGUACCGACUGGAUGAGCAGCGAACGGGUGAGUAACGCGUGGGGAAUCUGCCUUUGAGCGGGGGACAACAUUUGGAAACGAAUGCUAAUACCGCAUAAAAACUUUAAACACAAGUUUUAAGUUUGAAAGAUGCAAUUGCAUCACUCAAAGAUGAUCCCGCGUUGUAUUAGCUAGUUGGUGAGGUAAAGGCUCACCAAGGCGAUGAUACAUAGCCGACCUGAGAGGGUGAUCGGCCACAUUGGGACUGAGACAAGGCCCAAACUCCUACGGGAGGCAGCAGGAGGGAAUCUUCGGCAAUGGACGAAAGUCUGAACGAGCAACGCCGCGUGAGUGAAGAAGGUUUUCGGAUCGUAAAACUCUGUUGGUAGAGAAGAACGUUGGUGAGAGUGGAAAGCUCAUCAAGUGACGGUAACUACACAGAAAGGGACGGCUAACUACGUG